rnacentral:misc_RNA from 1 species
GAUGAAGAACGCAGUGAAAUGCGAUAAGUAAUGCGAAUUGCAGAAUUCAGUGAGUCAUCGAAUCUUUGAACGCACAUUGCGCCCUGUGGUAUUCCGCAGGGCAUGCCUGUUCGAGCGUCAUUUCAACCCUCAAGCCCCGCUUGGUGUUGGGCCCCGCCCGCUGUGGCCGGCCCUAAAGACAGUGGCGGCGCCGCCUGGCCCUCAGUGUAGUACAUCUCUCGCUCCAGGGUCCGGUGGCCGCCUGCCAGAACCCCCCAACUCUGUGGUUGACCUCGGAUCAGGUAGGGAUACCCGCUGAACUUAAGCAUAUCAAUAAGCGGAGGA